GUCUACAGCCAUGCAACCCUGAACAAGCCCGAUAUCGUCUGAUCUCUGAAGCCAAGCAGGGUCAGGCCUGGUUAGUACUUGGAUGGGAGACCACCUAGGAAGAGCAGGUGCUAUAGGCG
rnacentral:rRNA from 1 species